rnacentral:rRNA from 1 species
AUUGAACGCUGGCGGCAUGCCUUACACAUGCAAGUCGAACGGCAGCACGGGUGCUUGCACCUGGUGGCGAGUGGCGAACGGGUGAGUAAUACAUCGGAACGUACCUUAUCGUGGGGGAUAACGCAGCGAAAGCUGUGCUAAUACCGCAUACGCCCUGAGGGGGAAAGCGGGGGAUCGAAAGACCUCGCGCGAUUAGAGCGGCCGAUGCCUGAUUAGCUUGUUGGGGGGGUAAAAGCCCACCAAGGCGACGAUCAGUAGCUGGUCGGAGAGGACGAUCAGCCACACGGGGACGGAGACACGGCCCAGACUCCUACGGGAGGCAGAAGGGGGGAAUUUUGGACAAUGGGGGCAACCCUGAUCCAGCAAUGCCGCGUGAGUGAAGAAGGCCUUCGGGUUGUAAAGCUCUUUUGUAAGGGAAGAAACACCGGCUCUAACACAGUCCGGGAAUGACGGUACCUGAAGAAUAAGCACCGGCCAACUACGUGCCAGCAGCCGCCGUAA